GGACGAACGCUGGCGGCGUGCUUAACACAUGCAAGUCGAACGCUGAAGCCUAGCUUGCUGGGUGGAUGAGUGGCGAACGGGUGAGUAACACGUGAGUAACCUGCCCCCUUCUUUGGGAUAACGCCCGGAAACGGGUGCUAAUACUGGAUAUUCACUGGUCUUCGCAUGGGGGUUGGUGGAAAGGUUUUUUCUGGUGGGGGAUGGGCUCGCGGCCUAUCAGCUUGUUGGUGGGGUGAUGGCCUACCAAGGCUUUGACGGGUAGCCGGCCUGAGAGGGUGACCGGUCACAUUGGGACUGAGAUACGGCCCAGACUCCUACGGGAGGCAGCAGUGGGGAAUAUUGCACAAUGGGCGAAAGCCUGAUGCAGCGACGCCGCGUGAGGGAUGGAGGCCUUCGGGUUGUAAACCUCUUUCGCUCAUGGUCAAGCCGCAACAUUGGUUGUGGUGAGGGUAGUGGGUAAAGAAGCGCCGGCUAACUACGU
rnacentral:rRNA from 2 species